rnacentral:rRNA from 1 species
UCUAGUAUAGCAUUAUACCGUGAAACUGCGAAUGGCUCAUUAAAUCAGUUAUCGUUUAUUUGAUAAUACCUUACUACUUGGAUAACCGUGGUAAUUCUAGAGCUAAUACAUGCUGAAAAUCCCGACUUCGGAAGGGAUGUGUUUAUUAGAUAAAAAACCAAUGCCCUUCGGGGCUCUUUGGUGAUUCAUGAUAACUUUACGGAUCGCAUAGCCUUGCGCUGGCGACGGUUCAUUCAAAUUUCUGCCCUAUCAACUUUCGAUGGUAAGGUAUUGGCUUACCAUGGUUUCAACGGGUAACGGGGAAUUAGGGUUCGAUUCCGGAGAGGGAGCCUGAGAAACGGCUACCACAUCCAAGGAAGGCAGCAGGCGCGCAAAUUACCCAAUCCCGACACGGGGAGGUAGUGACAAUAAAUACUGAUACAGGGCUCUUUUGGGUCUUGUAAUUGGAAUGAGUACAAUUUAAACCUCUUAACGAGGAACAAUUGGAGGGCAAGUCUGGUGCCAGCAGCCGCGGUAAUUCCAGCUCCAAUAGCGUAUAUUAAAGUUGUUGCAGUUAAAAAGCUCGUAGUUGAAACUUGGGCCUGGCUGGCGGGUCCGCCUCACCGCGUGCACUCGUCCGGCCGGGCCUUCCUUCUGAAGAACCUCAUGCCCUUCACUGGGCGUGUUGGGGAAUCACGACUUUUACUUUGAAAAAAUUAGAGUGUUCAAAGCAGCCUUUGCUCGAAUACGUUAGCAUGGAAAUAAUAAAAUAGGGCGUGCGUUUCUAUUUUGUUGGUUUCUAGAGACGCCGCAAUGAUUAACAGGAACAGUCGGGGGCAUCAGUAUUCAGUUGUCAGAGUGAAUUCUUGGAUUUACUGAGACUAACUACUGCGAAGCAUUUGCCGAGAUGUUUUCAUUAUCAGUGACGAAGUAGGGAUCGAGACGAUCAGAUACGUCGUAGUCCUACGUAACUAUGCGACUACGAUCGGGCGAUGUUCUUUUUUGUGACUCGCUCGGCAACUUACGAGA